AUACGUAGGGGGCGAGCGUUGUCCGGAAUGACUGGGCGUAAAGGGCGCGUAGGCGGCGCGGUAAGUCUGGAGUGAAAGUCCUGCUUUCAAGGUGGGAAUUGCUUUGGAUACUGCCGCGCUUGAGUGCAGGAGAGGUUAUCGGAAUUCCCGGUGUAGCGGUGAAAUGCGUAGAGAUCGGGAGGAACACCAGUGGCGAAGGCGGGUAACUGGACUGCAACUGACGCUGAGGCGCGAAAGUGUGGGGAGCAAACAGGAUUAGAUACCCUGGUAGUCCACACUGUAGACGAUGAAUGCUAGGUGUAAGAGGUAUCGACCCCUUUUGUGCCGGAGUCAACACAAUAAGCAUUCCGCCUGGGGAGUACGGCCGCAAGGUUGAAACUCAAAGGAAUUGACGGGG
rnacentral:rRNA from 1 species